rnacentral:rRNA from 1 species
UCGCGAAAACUUCGCAAUGGGGGAAACCCCGACGAGGGGAUUCCAAGUGCCAGCACACUGUGUUGGCUGUUCUCCUGUCCAAAAAGCAGGAGGAGUAAGGGCCGGGUAAGACGGGUGCCAGCCGCCGCGGUAAUACCCGCGGCCCGAGUGGUGGUCGAUUUUAUUGAGCCUAAAACGUCCGUAGCCGGCCUGGUAAAUCCUUGGGUAAAUCGGGCAGCUUAACUGUCCGAAGUCCGGGGAGACUGCCAGGCUUGGGACCGGGAGAGGUCAGAGGUACUUCCGGGGUAGGGGUAAAAUCCUGUAAUCCUGGAAGGACCACCGGUGGCGAAGGCGUCUGACUAGAACGGAUCCGACGGUGAGGGACGAAGCCCUGGGGCGCAAACGGGAUUAGAUACCCCGGUAGUCCAGGGUGUAAACGCUGCGGGCUUGGUGUUGGGAGUCCUCUGAGGGCGCCCAGUGCCGGAGAGAAGUUGUUAAGCCUGCUGCUUGGGGAGUACGUCCGCAAGGAUGAAACUUAAAGGAAUUGGCGGGGGAGCACCGCAACGGGAGGAGCGUGCGGUUCAAUUGGAUUCAACGCCGGAAAACUCACCAGGGGCGACGGAUGCAUGAAGGCCAGGCUGAUGACCUUGCCUGAUUAUCC